CAUUGCAGUCAAAGUAUGUCUUGCUAGAAGAACAUUCUUUUUCACCUGAAAGGCACAUUGUUGGUUUAGAUCAAUCAAGGCAAAAGAAAUGUUAGUGAAAGGUGGUAGUUUCUCAGACAGAAAUCUCAGUCUCUCCUUAUGAAAAAAAUGGGCUCAGUGAAGAGAGAAUAAAGUGAAAAUGUGUUCCUGUUUUACAUAAAAAGAAAAAAACCACACAAAACAACUAAACGGAGAAUUCAAAAGAGAUGUAGGUUUGGGUUGGGAGGUUGACUAUGGAUUUUAUUCUUGUUUAGUUUAUAGAAUGUCACUUACUUUUCAUUCUUAUUUUCACUGAAGUGCACUGGAUCUUUGCAUUUCGGCAAACACUAGAAAAGUGAAGUAAGUAGAAAUUUAAAAAAAAAAAAAAAGCAAGCUCAAUAUCUUCAAUUUAAGUCUAAGGACUUGUUUAUAUACAUUUGAGAGUAUUUAUUAAAUAUAGCCCGCAUAAUUUCUACUGAAAUUUCAAGGCCAAUUCUAUUGAAUCACACGCAUGAUUUUUUUUGUUGGAGAAAAAGUGUAGCAAGAUUUUAGGCAUAAUGCACAGAAAGGUUAUGUUUUAAGGAAUGACAGCUAUUCUAUUAUAAUCUUUAAUACUAUGUUUUAUGACAACUCGGGAAUUAGAUAGUAAUGACACAGAUAAUACUGGUAAUUUAAAUCAAAGUCUCCAUUUAUAUACACAAUGUAUUUUCAUGACUAUUGAAUUUAUAUGCUGCAAAUUUGUUGACCUAUGUGAUUCUUCUGCUGAAUGAGAGAAGGCAUUUCACAGUUUGCACUGACGACUCAGACAGCAAACUGUUGCCAGAGAUCAUGGGAAAAUAUAACAGAAUCAUGAAUGUUGUUUUCAAAAGUCUAUGUUACAAUGAAUAUAUAUCAAGGGGACCUUCCUCCAGUGGAAAACACAAGCAAACCAUGUCUGCUAGAAAAGCAAACAUAACACAUAGCUGGCCUUUUAUCUUCCUUUCAUCAUUCUGCUUAACAAAGCGUUAUUAACACUGCAGCUUCAGAAUAACAUUUGUCUGUGAAGGCAAAUACUCACACCUCCAAAGCAAGCUGCACUUCUCAAUUAUGAAUAAAUUGCAUUGCAAUAGAAUAAUGCUUUACUCAGCAUGAAGAUGUCGUGAAAUGCAUUACAAACACUCAUUAAAGUACCAAAAAACCUAAGCACCU
rnacentral:lncRNA from 1 species